rnacentral:rRNA from 1 species
UACGUAGGUGACCAGCGUUGUCCGGAUUUACUGGGCGUAAAGAGCGCGCAGGCGGCUGAGCAAGUCGAGUGUGAAAGCCCCGGGCUUAACUUGGGAAUUGCGCUCGAAACUACUUGGCUGGAGUGUGGCAGAGGAGGGUGGAAUUCCACGUGUAGCGGUGAAAUGCGUAGAGAUGUGGAGGAACACCAAUGGCGAAGGCAGCCCUCUGGGCCAACACUGACGCUCAUGCACGAAAGCGUGGGGAGCAAACAGG